rnacentral:rRNA from 1 species
AACCUUUACACUGCACGACAGUGCGAUAAGGGGACUCCGAGUGCGAGGGCAUACAGUCCUCGCUUUUCUGUACCGUAAGGUGGUACAGGAACAAGUGCUGGGCAAGACCGGUGCCAGCCGCCGCGGUAAUACCGGCAGCCCGAGUGAUGGCCGAUCUUAUUGGGCCUAAAGCGUCCGUAGCUGGCCGCACAAGUCCAUCGGAAAAUCCACCCGCUCGACGGGUGGGCGUCCGGUGGAAACUGUGUGGCUUGGGACCGGAAGGCGCGACGGGUACGUCCGGGGUAGGAGUGAAAUCCCGUAAUCCUGGACGGACCGCCGAUGGCGAAAGCACGUCGCGAGAACGGAUCCGACAGUGAGGGACGAAAGCUAGGGUCUCGAACCGGAUUAGAUACCCGGGUAGUCCUAGCCGUAAACAAUGCCUGCUAGGUGUGGCUCCCACUACGAGUGGGUGCUGUGCCGUAGGGAAGCCGCUAAGCAGGCCGCCUGGGAAGUACGUCCGCAAGGAUGAAACUUAA